rnacentral:rRNA from 1 species
GACGAACGCUGGCGGCGUGCCUAAUACAUGCAAGUCGAACGAGAGCGACCGGUGCUUGCACUGGUCAAUCUAGUGGCGAACGGGUGAGUAACACGUGGGUAACCUGCCCAUCAGAGGGGGAUAACAUUCGGAAACGGAUGCUAAAACCGCAUAGGUCUUCGAACCGCAUGGUUUGAAGAGGAAAAGAGGCGCAAGCUUCUGCUGAUGGAUGGACCCGCGGUGCAUUAGCUAGUUGGUGAGGUAACGGCUCACCAAGACCGUGAUGCAUAGCCGACCUGAGAGGGUGAUCGGCCACAUUGGGACUGAGACACGGCCCAAACUCCUACGGGAGGCAGCAGUAGGGAAUCUUCCGCAAUGGACGCAAGUCUGACGGAGCAACGCCGCGUGAGUGAAGAAGGUUUUCGGAUCGUAAAACUCUGUUGUUAGAGAAGAACAAGUGCUAGAGUAACUGUUAGCGCCUUGACGGUAUCUAACCAGAAAGCCACGGCUAACUACGUG